AGACGGGGGGGGCGAGCGUUGUUCGGAAUUACUGGGCGUAAAGGGCGCGCAGGCGGCUUGGGAAGUCUUGGGUGAAAGCCCCCAGCUCAACUGGGGAACGGCCUGAGAAACCACUAGGCUGGAGUGCUGGAGAGGGAAGCGGAAUUCCCGGUGGAGCGGUGAAAUGCGUAGAUAUCGGGAGGAACACCAGAGGCGAAGGCGGCUUCCUGGACAGACACUGACGCUGAGGCGCGAAAGCUAGGGGAGCAAACGGGAUUAGAAACCCCAGUAGUCC
rnacentral:rRNA from 1 species